rnacentral:rRNA from 1 species
AAGUCUGACGGAGCAACGCCGCGUGAGUGAUGACGGCCUUCGGGUUGUAAAGCUCUGUUAAUCGGGACGAAAGGCCUUCUUGCGAAUAGUUAGAAGGAUUGACGGUACCGGAAUAGAAAGCCACGGCUAACUACGUGCCAGCAGCCGCGGUAAUACGUAGGUGGCAAGCGUUGUCCGGAAUUAUUGGGCGUAAAGCGCGCGCAGGCGGAUCAGUCAGUCUGUCUUAAAAGUUCGGGGCUUAACCCCGUGAUGGGAUGGAAACUGCUGAUCUAGAGUAUCGGAGAGGAAAGUGGAAUUCCUAGUGUAGCGGUGAAAUGCGUAGAUAUUAGGAAGAACACCAGUGGCGAAGGCGACUUUCUGGACGAAAACUGACGCUGAGGCGCGAAAGCCAGGGGAGCGAACGGGAUUAGAUACCCCGGUAGUCCUGGCCGUAAACGAUGGGUACUAGGUGUAGGAGGUAUCGACCCCUUCUGUGCCGGAGUUAACGCAAUAAGUACCCCGCCCUGGGGAGUACGACCGCAAGGGUUGAAACUCAAGGAAUUGACGGGGGGCCCGCACAAGCGGUGGAGUAUGUGGGUUUAUUUCGACG